rnacentral:rRNA from 1 species
UACGUAGGGGGCGAGCGUUGUCCGGAUUUAUUGGGCGUAAAGAGCGUGUAGGCGGCCAGGUAGGUCUGCUGUGAAAACUCGAGGCUCAACCUCGAGACGUCGGCGGAAACCAUCUGGCUAGAGUCCGGAAGAGGAGAGUGGAAUUCCUGGUGUAGCGGUGAAAUGCGCAGAUAUCAGGAGGAACACCCGUGGCGAAAGCGGCUCUCUGGGACGGUACUGACGCCGAGACGCGAAAGCGUGGGGAGCGAACAGG